rnacentral:rRNA from 1 species
AGUGAACGCUGGCGGUAGGCCUAACACAUGCAAGUCGAACGGCAGCACAGUAAGGGCUUGCUCUUACGGGUGGCGAGUGGCGGACGGGUGAGGAAUACAUCGGAAUCUACUUUUUCGUGGGGGAUAACGUAGGGAAACUUACGCUAAUACCGCAUACGACCUACGGGUGAAAGCAGGGGAUCUUCGGACCUUGCGCGAUUGAAUGAGCCGAUGUCGGAUUAGCUAGUUGGCGGGGUAAAGGCCCACCAAGGCGACGAUCCGUAGCUGGUCUGAGAGGAUGAUCAGCCACACUGGAACUGAGACACGGUCCAGACUCCUACGGGAGGCAGCAGUGGGGAAUAUUGGACAAUGGGCGCAAGCCUGAUCCAGCCAUACCGCGCGGGUGAAGAAGGCCUUCGGGUUGUAAAGCCCUUUUGUUGGGAAAGAAAAGCAGCAGGUUAAUACCCCGCUGUUCUGACGGUACCCAAAGAAUAAGCACCGGCUAACUUCGUG